GUCAUUACUUCAGCAAGCGUCCACAGAAGCCACAAUUUUCCCGGGGAGGAGGUCAAACAGGCCACUCUCUCCACCUUUGAAUGCUGUUGCUUCCAAAGACUCUAUCUCUUGUCUCUGCUCAGCCCCUGUACUCCAGCUUCUCUGCCAGGCUUCAGAGAUCCUAAAGAAGGAGGAUAUCUUUAAUUGAAGAGUGCUAAUAAUUUACUGGUUGCAAACUCUACUUUUACCCUGAAGACCAGUGAUUCUUCAUUUCACCAGAGGAAAAGCCAUGGUGGACACCGACAUGCUGCCAGAGUGACCGGACAUAGCUGCUGAAGUGCUCUUGGCAGACUGACCACAGCUAUCACCAUCUUCAGAGAUGGCCUGAACUGGAAAGUCACCUCACCCAAAGUCAGGGAGUCAUCCCAGGACAGCAGCUGUACCCAGUGCCUAAGCCACAUGGGGUUAUCCAGGCCUAGACACCUCACCCCGGCCGGGGCUACUCUGAAAGGCCACUUGAGGUCCAUCCUACAGGGAGUCAUCUGAGUGGAGGCUAGGCCUGUAAAGUGACUUCUGUUCUGCUUCCUUUACUUCUGUCCUUAGGUCUCUAUCCCAACCGCACUGCUAGCAAAUGGCCUGCCAGAGCCUGUCUCUGCAGAGCCAGCUUGCAGCAAGGCCCUCCAUGACAGGCCUCCCCCAGUGCCUCUCUCAUUUCAAACCUCACCAACCCCGUACUAGGCCCCCAAGAACAUGGUCUUUGCUCUUUCCUAAAGAGCACAGGCAUGGCUCUGCCCCAGGGUCCCUGCACAGUGCUGCUUCUGUCUGGAACCCACUCCCCUCACCUCCUCCCAGUUCUGCCCAGAUGUCCCCCUUCUACACAAGCUGACCCUGAUCCACCUGAGCAAGAAGCAAGACAAUAGUUCUGAGGAGGAACAGUUCUCAUUUUCCUAAUGUAUUUGCUUAUGUUUCUGGGUGUGUGUUUCCUUUUGAAGAAGUGACAGCAAUUUUCUAGAAAGGAUUUUGCACACUGAUGUUUUAAAUCCAUAAAGAUGGAGCAGUCAAGAGCACAGGCUUUGGACUCAAACAGACUGAGGCUUGAGAAAGGCCUUGGGCCUCUCAGCUGUGUUUCUCUAUCUCUGACGGAGGAGCAAUGGUGUCACCUCCUUCUCAGAAUGGUUGUGAAGAUUACAGACUUCAUAGGUAACAGGCUGAGACAAAGAUUCACGUAAAGAUUGGGAACUGUUGAGAGAUGGUCCUAAGAAGCCCCAUACACCAAGAGCUCCAUGGAGUCUAUCUGCAAAAUGGCUUAGACGCGGUCCCAGGAAAUCAUCUUCUCAGCCCUGACAAUGAUCAGCAAGUAGAGAGGACCAGUCUUAGUGAAGCAACUGUCAACCCCAGGGGACAGUGACCCUAGCCGGAGGCCCUCCGCAGUAUCUGCUGA